rnacentral:lncRNA from 1 species
GAAAUUAGUUCUGUAUCAGACGACGAAGAAUUAAAAUCAGUAAGCAGACCUUAUCAUUGCUGGAAUUCAAGAACUGAGAAACUAUUACUUAAGAGGUUUUCUAAAGAAAUUGAGCGUGACGCUAUGCCUGAUAAAAAAACUCUCCGAAAAUUUGUUAAAGAAAAUGGCAUCGUAGUGUCGUAUAAAACAGUUCGAACUAAACUAACAAAUGAACGUGUUAAAGUAAGACGACUUACU